CAGCUCGUCCCCAGAGAGACGGGGAAAGAGCAGUUCUGGCCUCUGCCUGCAUUAGCACUGUUACAGCAUCCUGUGAGGCAUGUCAGUAUCCUCUGUGAGAUCUCCCAACACCUUCCCCUUUCUGCCUCAAAUUAUGAGGUUUUGCCUACUCCAGCUGCACCGUCCCUAUCCAAGAAGACUACCUGUUGUGGCGAGUGGGAUUCUGGGGAUCCCGCAGUUAAUUGGAUCACCUGUGGGAAGGCCCAGGGGAGGGAAAAGGCUUGAGAUAAUUUAAAAGUCCAUCAAUCUUCAGCUAAUUCACUAGAACUUUCCUGUGUCUCCUUGUGUCCUUAGCUACAAAUGGUUUCUUUGCCCAUGUUGAGGGCAAACACUACCAUUUAGCAGUGCAAUGCCAUGCAAACACAUGAAGCACUCUGGCUUAAAAUAAACAGCAGCAAACAACCAUCAGAGGCACUCCUGCUGUACUUUCAUCCACCACAUGAAACACCAAAUCACUAAAUAGUGACAGACAUUAUUAUUAUUAUUUUUAAACAUGCUUUUCCGUUCCAGUGAUUAAAGGCAUCCUUAGGAACACGGACAUGAAAGGUUUUUGAUAGGUGGCUUAAGCUAACAAUCUCAUGAGAGAGCUGGAGUUUGGGCAGAUAAAGGAAAAAAAAACCAAGAACUUUUCCUGUCACACUGCUCUAAGCAGCAGUGACAG